CAAAUGCGAUACGCAAUGCGAAUUGCAGAAUUCCGCGAGUCAUCAGAUCUUUGAACGCAAAUGGCGCUGGGUUAACCAAUACCCCAGCAUGUUUGUUUCAGUGUGUUAGGAAUCAUAUAUCUUAAUGCGGUUGAAAAUAUUUUAUUAUAUUUUCUCCCGUUAAAUAUGAAAGCGCUGAAUCGUUCAGUGCCAAUCGAAGUAGUCACUUCUUUAGCAAGUGAUCUCGAUUGUUGCAUAACUGAGGAUUCACUUUAAAGCGUUCUUUUUAUUAAAAAACAUAUUAUUUCUCCAUUCAACACCUGAAAUCAAGCAAGAUCACCCGCUGAACUUAA
rnacentral:misc_RNA from 1 species